AUUGAACGCUGGCGGCAGGCCUAACACAUGCAAGUCGAACGGUAGCACAGAGAGCUUGCUCUCGGGUGACGAGUGACGGACGGGUGAGUAAUGUCUGGGAAACUGCCUGAUGGAGGGGGAUAACUACUGGAAACGGUAGCUAAUACCGCAUAAUGUCGCAAGACCAAAGAGGGGGACCUUCGGGCCUCUUGCCAUCGGAUGUGCCCAGAUGGGAUUGGCGUGUUGGUGAGGUAAAGGCUCACCAAGGCGACGAUCCCUAGCUGGUCUGAGAGGAUGACCAGCCACACUGGAACUGAGACACGGUCCAGACUCCUACGGGAGGCAGCAGUGGGGAAUAUUGCACAAUGGGCGCAAGCCUGAUGCAGCCAUGCCGCGUGUGUGAAGAAGGCCUUCGGGUUGUAAAGCACUUUCAGCGGGGAGGAAGGCGGUGAGUUUAAUAAACUCACCGAUUGACGUUACCCGCAGAAGAAGCACCGGCUAACACCGUGCCAGCCGCCGCAGUAA
rnacentral:rRNA from 1 species